ACUGGCAGACUAUUGCAAAAAGGGCACGGGGCAGAGGGACUAUGUUGUGAGCCUGCGAAAGAAGUUUGUGUGGGGACUGUGGGCAGUGAACGCGUUGGGAACAAUAUGGAAAACUGGGAGCCGCCUUGGAAUCUACAGGGCCGGGCUGAAGAAAAGAAGAAUGGUAUUCACGCAGUUCCCAUUUUACAGAUGAAAACAAGAGGACUUUUUCUGUGAAGUCAAGAAAGUGGUUACAAUGGUACUUUCAGCCUGUCCGAAUUAUGUAUUGCCCCUCCCCUUUUUAUUAAUAACAUUGAAGUGUGAUGGGACAACCACUGAAGCCGUCAGUUGAAACCUGCUGGGACUUUUUAGCCAUUCUCUUCAACAUAAAGAAUGGGUGUUUUUGGAGGGGGUGAGAGGAAUGGGGAAAUGUUGUCAAAGAGUACAAUGUUUUAGUUGAGACAGGAAGAAUAUAUUUUGUUGAGAUCUACAGCACAGCAUGGUGACUGUAGUUAACAAUGAAGUAUUGUGUAUUUCCAAAUUGCUAAGACAAUAAAUUUCAAAUGUUCUCACCACAAAAAAGAUAGGUUUUGAGGUGAUGAAUCU
rnacentral:lncRNA from 10 species